rnacentral:rRNA from 1 species
GACGAACGCUGGCGGCGUGCUUAACACAUGCAAGUCGAACGGAAAGGCCCUGCUUUUGUGGGGUGCUCGAGUGGCGAACGGGUGAGUAACACGUGAGUAACCUGCCCUUGACUUUGGGAUAACUUCAGGAAACUGGGGCUAAUACCGGAUAGGAGCUCCUGCUGCAUGGUGGGGGUUGGAAAGUUUCGGCGGUUGGGGAUGGACUCGCGGCUUAUCAGCUUGUUGGUGGGGUAGUGGAGUACCAAGGCUUUGACGGGUAGCCGGCCUGAGAGGGUGACCGGCCACCUUGGGACUGCGAUACGGCCCAGACUCCUACGGGAGGCAGCAGUGGGGAAUAUUGCACAAUGGGCGGAAGCCUGAUGCAGCAACGCCGCGUGCGUGAUGACGGCCUUCUGGUUGUAAACCGCUUUCGCCUGUGACGAAGCGUGAGUGACGGUAAUGGGUAAAGAAGCACCGGCUAACUACGUG